AUAAAAUAAUUAGUUGAUGGAAACAUUCUUUGCCAUUACAUGAAUCCUCAAACCUCAAUUACACACCGACGUUUUCAUCAAGAAAUCCCAGCAUAUCAAACCAUGGAAGAGCCUCCAAGCCCCUAUAUGUGACCACCGACCUCACCGGCACUGAACUCAAACUUGACCGUGUUGUAUCAUGGCGUUUUCAUCGCCGGGACAGCUGCAAUUGUUCUUGUGUUGUACAACUUCGUCAUCAUAAAAUGGUGCUCAGAUGACUCCCACACCAGGCCAAGACAGAAUAAUUCGUGGCCGCGGAACUACCUCAACCCCAAGUUUUGGUGACCCUAGGAUAAACUCAAUGACAAACUUCAAGUACAAGAAACGUGGACUAGCACAAGAUCAGGGGCGAACCCACAUGGGGUCAUGUGGGGUCAAAUGACCCCACAGUUUUUUGGAAUUUUUUUUUUUUUUUUUUUUUGUGCUGAAAACUUAAUUUUCUGUCCCCAAAAAGUCCAAAUCUUAAAUCUAUAUCCAUAUCACAUGGUCCAUAUCCAUUAUUUAGUCCAUAGAUAUAUCAUAUAAUCCACAUUUUUCUUCCCAAAGUGCAAAUAUCGAACAUGAACAGCAAAUAACUGAUUUUUCCUUUUU
rnacentral:lncRNA from 1 species